rnacentral:rRNA from 1 species
UGGGGAAUUUUGGACAAUGGGGGCAACCCUGAUCCAGCCAUGCCGCGUGAGUGAAGAAGGCCUUCGGGUUGUAAAGCUCUUUCGGCCGGGAAGAAAUCGCACGGGCUAAUACCCUGUGUGGAUGACGGUACCGGAAUAAGAAGCACCGGCUAACUACGUGCCAGCAGCCGCGGUAAUACGUAGGGUGCGAGCGUUAAUCGGAAUUACUGGGCGUAAAGCGUGAGCAGGCGGUUUUGUAAGACAGGCGUGAAAUCCCCGGGCUCAACCUGGGAACUGCGCUUGUGACUGCAAGGCUAGAGUACGGCAGAGGGGGGUGGAAUUCCACGUGUAGCAGUGAAAUGCGUAGAGAUGUGGAGGAACACCAAUGGCGAAGGCAGCCCCCUGGGUCGAUACUGACGCUCAUGCACGAAAGCGUGGGUAGCAAACAGG